CCUCUGUUUUCUCUCUAUUCAUUUCUUUAUUUGGAUCAUGUGAAACACUUUUAGUGAUAUUAAAUCACCCACCUGCAAUUCACAUACAGCCAGAUUUGGAUGUUUAUUACAAAAUUGGUGAAUCUGUGACGCUGCCUUGUUUGGCUGACGGACUGCCAACUCCAGUUUAUCAUUGGAAGAGGAACGGCAUUAAAUUGAAUCCGUCUGGAAAUG